AUUGAACGCUGGCGGCAGGCCUAACACAUGCAAGUCGAGCGGGGUUUUCGGACCUAGCGGCGGACGGGUGAUUAAUGCGUAGGAAGCUGCCCGAUAGAGGGGGAUACCAGUUGGAAACGACUGUUAAUACCGCAUAAUGUCUACGGACCAAAGUGUGGGACCUUCGGGACACAUGCUAUCGGAUGCGCCUACGUGGGAUUAGCUAGUGGGUGAGGUAAUGGCUCACCAAGGCGACGAUCUCUAGCUGGUUUGAGAGGAGGAUCAGCAACGCUGAACCUGAGACACGGUCCAGGCUCCUACGGGAGGCAGCAGUGGGGAAUAUUGGCCACUGGGCGCAAGCCUGAUCCAGCCAUGACGCGUGUGUGAAGAAGGCCUUCGGGUUGUAAAGCACUUUCAGCGAGGAGGAAGGGGUGUGUGUUAAUAGUACACACCGUUGACGUUACUCGCAGAAGAAGCACCGGCUAACUCUGUGCCAGCAGCCGCAGUAAAAC
rnacentral:rRNA from 1 species